rnacentral:sRNA from 2 species
AAUAAUUAACGUUAGGUGAGGCUCCUAUAUAGAUAUAUGCUACUGCCCCGAAACAUCGAGAGAUGCCAAUGGGUUAACAGGUACUACCGAAUCAAGGUUUUACUUAAUGUAGCUGGCAUAAUAUCCAAAGCUAUAUAGUGCUAAAGCUCAAACAUAGUUUUAUAGCU